rnacentral:rRNA from 1 species
AGUCGAGCGGUAACAGGAGUAGCUUGCUACUCGCUGACGAGCGGCGGACGGGUGAGUAACGCGUAGGAAUCUGCCUGAUAGUUGGGGAUAGCCCGGGGAAACCCGGAUUAAUACCGAAUACGCUCUACGGAGGAAAGCAGGGGAUCUUCGGACCUUGCGCUAUCAGAUGAGCCUGCGUGAGAUUAGCUAGUUGGUGAGGUAAUGGCUCACCAAGGCGACGAUCUCUAGCUGGUCUGAGAGGAUGAUCAGCCACACUGGGACUGAGACACGGCCCAGACUCCUACGGGAGGCAGCAGUGGGGAAUAUUGGACAAUGGGGGCAACCCUGAUCCAGCCAUGCCGCGUGUGUGAAGAAGGCCUUAGGGUUGUAAAGCACUUUCAGGAGUGAGGAAGGGUGUACGGUUAAUACCCGUAUAUUUUGACGUUAACUCCAGAAGAAGCACCGGCUAACUCUGUGCCAGCAGCCGCGGUAAUACAGAGGGUGCGAGCGUUAAUCGGAAUUACUGGGCGUAAAGCGCGCGUAGGCGGUUUGUUAAGUCGGAUGUGAAAUCCCAGGGCUCAACCUUGGAAUGGCACCC